ACGGGUGAGUAAUGCGUAGGAAUCUGUCUUUGAGUGAGGGAUAACCCGUGGAAACGCGGGCUAAUACCGCAUAAGACUGAGAAGUGAAAGCAGGGGACUCGAAAGGGCCUUGCGCUGAAAGGGGAGCUUACGUCGGAUUAGCUAGUUGGUUGGGUAAAGGCUGACCAAGGCGACGAUCCGUAGCUGGUCUGAGAGGACGACCAGCCACACUGGGACUGAGACACGGCCCAGACUCCUACGGGAGGCAGCAGUGGGGAAUUUUGGACAAUGGGGGCAACCCUGAUCCAGCAAUGCCGCGUGUGUGAAGAAGGCCUGAGGGUUGUAAAGCACUUUAGGCGGGGAAGAAGGUACGCGCGUGAAUAGUGAGCGUAUUUGACGGUACCCGCAAAAUAAGCACCGGCUAACUCUGUGCCAGCAGCCGCGGUAAUACAGAGGGUGCAAGCGUUAAUCGGAAUUACUGGGCGUAAAGCGCAUGUAGGUGGGUCAUUAAGUUUGAUGUGAAAGCCCUGGGUUUAACCUGGGAAAGGCGUUGAAGACUGGUGGUCUAGAGUCGGACAGAGGGCCGUGGAAUUUCCG
rnacentral:rRNA from 1 species